UGCAUGUCUAAGUCCAAGCUGUGUUCACACGGCGAGACCGCGGACGGCUCAUUAAAUCAGUCGUGGUCCAAAUGGGCCAGUGCAAAUCCUACUUGGAUAACUGUGGUAAUUCCAGAGCUAAUACAUGCAACUUAUAUCCCGAAGGCGAUGGUUGUGCUUGCUUGUCUUGCGCUCUCACUGCUCUGACGGAUGCUUUUAUUAGACCAAACCGCUGAGGACUUGGGGGUUCGCUCUCUUGUCUGACUCGUUAUAUGGUGACUCUGGAUAACCAAAUUAUGACAAGCGCACGUACUUCUCUUCUGAGCGAGACGGCGCUGCCACUUUCGAGUGUCUGCCUUAUCAGCUAUCAACCGUUCGUUAUGCGCGACCGAUGGCUUUGACGGGUAACGGGGAAUCAGGGUUCGAUUCCGGAGAGGCAGCCUGAGAGACGGCUACCACG
rnacentral:rRNA from 1 species